AUGAUGGAUGUCUUACCUACGGAAAUUCUUAUCGAUAUUCUUUCGAGAUUGUCUGUAAAUUCGGCAUGUUGCAUCAGAUGUGUAUCUAAAGUCUUGUUAAAGACAGUUGACGACCUUUCUUUUGCCACUCUGCACAUGCGGCGUUUACCUGAUGUUCAUCAAGUACCUCGACUUAUUCGUCUUGUUGAACCUACCUUUGAUGUACAUAAGAUGUACCCAUUGAAAUACGAUGGCAUUGACUUCACAAAGAGCAGCCAUGCAAUUGUUUCUGAAUUCGUGUCCAGUCUGCGUUGGUAUAAGCCUACUUUUGUUUUCUACAACUUGUUUGGCUUUACUGGUCUUCAUACGAAGAAAGGAAGGUCAUGCUUGUUGGUGAAUCCUUUCAAGGGAGAAGUUCUAAUACUCCCAACAACGAAUGACCUCCAAAUUCCAAUCAACAGUCUGUGCAAUGGUGAUACGUACGGCAUGGGAUUUGAUAAUAUAACCAACACCUAUAAGAUUGUUCGUGUUUCUUGCCACGAAAAGGACAUCAACACCCAAAUGGCGGCCGAAGUUUUUAUAUUGGGGACAAGCUCAUGGCGGGAGUUACCCUCAGUUCCUCCUUGCCAUCUAACCCAAAAGUCGGCAUGUGCACAUGGAGACAUGCAUUGGUUGGUUCGUGGAGAUGGCCAUGACUCGUCAUAUGUACGUAUACUUUCUUUCGACUUCAAGAAAGAGGAGUUCUAUUGGACACCUCAUCCUGCCACCUCACAAAAAAUGCCGGAUAUGUUUGAUUUUGUUAACCUACUUAAUUUCAGGGGUUCUUUGACCCUUGUGGAUGCUUCUUCAUCAACAGAUAUGAAGAUUUGGGAAUUGAAAAAUUAUGAUAACAAAGAGUGGGUACUAAAUUACAUAAUAGACAUGCAACAACAUCCGUCUCUUCGUUACUUGAAGGGUACUCUUGUGAUGUGUCGCACUCUUUUUUAUGUAUGUGGAGAAUGGGAGCAUGACAUAUUUUUCAACCAGGAUAACUUCAUAUUGUUUUUGGAUGUAACACGUGUUAUCGUGAGUAGUGUACGGCUCAAAGGUUCUACAGUCCAUAGUUGUACGGAUAGCAUGAUUUCUCUAAAGAAGUAUGGAGAUUUGGUUCAAGCAGAGCAAGAUAUUGAGAGCCUCAUAUCUGAAGAAAGUUAUGAGAAUCUGACUAAAACUGCAGAAGCAAGUGGGAGAGAUGUGGUUUACUUGAGAACACAGAUGGAGACCGCUUGUAUUUCUUGA
rnacentral:lncRNA from 1 species